rnacentral:rRNA from 1 species
UUCCGGUUGAUCCUGCCGGACCCGACUGCUAUCAGAGUGGGACUAAGCCAUGCGAGUCAACGUAGCAAUACGUGGCAUACGGCUCAGUAACACGUAGUCAACAUGCCCAGGGGACGAGGAUAACCUCGGGAAACUGAGGAUAAACCUCGAUAGGCCAUGAUUUCUGGAAUGAUUCUUGGCUCAAACCUAUAUGGCCCCUGGAUUGGACUGCGGCCGAUCAGGCUGUUGGUGAGGUAAUGGCCCACCAAACCUAUUACCGGUACGGGCUCUGAGAGGAGGAGCCCGGAGAUGGGCACUGAGACAAGGGCCCAGGCCCUAUGGGGCGCAGCAGGCGCGAAACCUCUGCAAUAGGCGAAAGCUUGACAGGGUUACUCUGAGUGAUUUCCGCUAAGGGAAUCUUUUGGCACCUCUAUAAAUGGUGCAGAAUAAGGGGUGGGCAAGUCUGGUGUCAGCCGCCGCGGUAAUACCAGCACCCCGAGUGGUCGGGACGAUUAUUGGGCCUAAAGCAUCCGUAGCCGGUUCUGCAAGUCCCCCGUUAAAUCCAGCUGCUCAACAGAUGGGCCGCGGAGGAUACUACAGAGCUAGGAGGCAGGAGAGGCAAGCGGUACUCAGUGGGUAGGGGUAAAAUCCGUUGAUCCAUUGAAGACCACCAGUGGCGAAGGCGGCUUGCCAGAAUGCGCUCGACGGUGAGGGAUGAAAGCUGGGGGAGCAAACCGGAUUAGAUACCCGAGUAGUCCCAG